rnacentral:tRNA from 1 species
GGAAGGUUGGCCGAGUGGUUGAAGGCGGCGGUCUUGAAAACCGCAGGGGUUAACAGCCUCCAAGGGUUCGAAUCCCUUACCUUCCGCCA